rnacentral:rRNA from 1 species
UACGGAGGAUGCAAGCGUUAUCCGGAAUGAUUGGGCGUAAAGCGUCCGCAGGUGGCUAUGUAAGUCUUCUGUUAAAGAGUGAGGCUCAACCUCAUAAGAGCAGUGGAAACUACAUGGCUAGAGUGCGUUCGGGGCAGAGGGAAUUCCUGGUGUAGCGGUGAAAUGCGUAGAGAUCAGGAAGAACACCGGUGGCGAAAGCGCUCUGCUAGGCCGCAACUGACACUGAGGGACGAAAGCUAGGGGAGCGAAUGGG